AACGAACGCUGGCGGCAGGCCUAACACAUGCCAGUCGAGCGCGCCCUUCGGGGUGAGCGGCGGACGGGUGAGUAACGCGUGGGAACGUGCCCUUCUCUGCGGAAUAGCCUCGGGAAACUGAGAGUAAUACCGCAUACGCCCUUUGGGGGAAAGAUUUAUCGGAGAAGGAUCGGCCCGCGUUGGAUUAGGUAGUUGGUGGGGUAUGGCCCACCAAGCCGACGAUCCAUAGCUGGUUUGAGAGGAUGAUCAGCCACACUGGGACUGAGACACGGCCCAGCCUCCUACGGGAGGCAGCAGUGGGGAAUCUUAGACAAUGGGGGCAACCCUGAUCUAGCCAUGCCGCGUGAGUGAUGAAGGCCUUAGGGUUGUAAAGCUCUUUCAGCUGGGAAGAUAAUGACGGUACCAGCAGAAGAAGCCCCGGCUAACUCCGUG
rnacentral:rRNA from 1 species